rnacentral:rRNA from 1 species
UACGGGGGGGGCAAGCGUUGUUCGGAAUUACUGGGCGUAAAGGGCGCGUAGGCGGCCUUCUAAGUCGGACGUGAAAUCCCUCGGCUUAACCGAGGAACUGCGUCUGAUACUGAAAGGCUUGAAUCCGGGAGAGGGAUGUGGAAUUCCAGGUGUAGCGGUGAAAUGCGUAGAUAUCUGGAGGAACACCGGUGGCGAAGGCGGCAUCCUGGACCGGUAUUGACGCUGAGGUGCGAAAGCUAGGGGAGCAAACGGG